ensembl:lncRNA
GGGGACCAGAAGGAAUGAGAUUGGGGCGGGUGCAGGCCAGAGAGGACAGGAAGGGAAGGACCACGCCGACGCUGAGCAGCGCCCCGGGAGGUUUUCCCUGUCCCUGCACUGCUCGUUUGGUCACCUUUUGAGAGAAAAGAACACUGAUCCCAUUAAAAGGCCCUGUUGUUUGCCAGAUGAGGUCACCAGACUGGUAAGUAGCAAGGCUGGGACUCCACUAGGAAUAUCUGACUUUAAAAGCCAUGUUCCUGUCACCCAGAAUGCACAUGCUGAUGCAGCUGAACAGAAGAGGUAAGAGACAAACCAUGCCAAACACAAACCAAGAUUUGCCCUAAGAGUGCUCAGAAAUACCACAUGUGAAUCAGGGGCUUCAAUAACUUUCUGAGCCUCAAUCUGGGACUCUGUCUAAAACAGAAAAACAAACCUCAAAGUGCAAUGAGAGAAGAAUAGGAAUGAGGCAUUUAGCUUUCCCUUGGAAGAGCAGCUGGAGAGGCCCACUCACUUUCUAUGUCUGGGCUCUGAGGAAAUAAAGGUGGUUCUAGGAAAAUCUGAAAAGUAAGAGAGGAAAAAAAAAAUCCCUUCUGUGGUUUUUUUCUUUAACCAAGCCUCAUUUUGCUAUUUGUGUUUUAUUUUAAAACUAAUGUGGCUCUCCCCACCCUUUAAAUUGGCACGUAAAUAGCAAAAACAGAAGGAAGGCCAGCUACAAACUUCAAAUGUGGUGGGUUUCUCAGGAAGGAGGUACAUGACUUGAAGUGGAAAUGAGGAUUAAAUGAGGUGCCUUAAACAUUUCAAAGACAGACUUUCCACAAGGACUGUGGAUCAUAAGCCUUUAGAACAGGAGCUUUGUCUGGGUUUGGGCUUGGUAGAGUGUCCAGAAUUUGUGAGUGCCCCAAAAUGUGGAAAACGAAUCACACUUCUAGUGUCUGUCUGCAUCAUCUAAUCAUCUCGGCCACCGCUCUGCUUACAGCUUUAAAGGUUGGCUUCUGGAGGAUUUUCCUGUUCUCAGAUGUCAGACACACAUCCUCCCUCAGACCCCUUACUUUUCCAGAAGUUUGCUCUGGGAAUUCAGUCAAGGUGAGGCAAUGGUUGAUGAUAUCACUAGGCUUGUUUGAAGAGAUUGACAGGCCAGCUCUGGAAUCACCAACUGGAGGUUUUUCCAAACUGGGAAACCAAGGCAGAAGGGACUUCAUGAGACUUGUCACUAACAGUUCUGAUUCUCUCGCCCUAUGUCUUUGAACUAGAAGGAUUCCCCUCUUACCCAACACAAGAGAGACCUGAAUAUCCCAGGCUGCCUCUUGCAAAAUUCUUGGACCUCUUCGACCUUCCUCGCUGCUGCUUCCCUCAUUCUUUCAGUGCGUUCAUUCUACAAACAUGCCUCAAGGGCGCAUGAUGUGUAGAUCCUAGUGGCAGAGCAGAGAACCUAACAUGAGCUCAGAAGCUCACUUUCUCCCAUUCCCUCCUGGUUUCUAACCUCAUGGCUUCAACUUCCACACCUGGAGAGGUCCUAUGAUGGUAAAUGACUUGCUUCUCCAGGUAAGGACUGCUGCUCAGACAUACCUGACAUUCCACCAGCUCCUUCGGCAGCUCUCUGAGAUCAUACCCUGGGACCCUGACACCACAGCGAUGACACCGAUUUGGUAGAAGGUUUGGGUCCUGAGAUACCUUCAGAAGCAGGGCUCAGAAAUGCUCCAGCUCCAGCAUUUGCCCUUGCUCCUCCCCAUCCCUUUCCAGUUGUCACUCCUUCAGUUUAUAAGAUCGCUGUUGUCCAAAAUAGCACAGGCUAUAUUUAUGAAGCAUCUAUUAUGAUGAAAAAUCCCGUAGUGCCAUAAUACCCUACUGUCCAAAGGAAAAUGUUGGCUUAAACAAACAACAGUGACUAUCUGGCAAAGUGAUGUGUGGGAUAAUGCUUAUGAGUCUUUUGGGUCAUUUUUUUUUUUUUUAUUGAAUCUUGGGACUGAGUGAUUCAUAAUAACGAGAGGAAGGAAGAACACCAGGCCUGUUUUAGCUUUCAAGAUUAUUCAAAUGGAAUAGAUUUUCACCAUCAACACCGUAGCAAAGACAGAAUGCUUAAGGUAAAUUGCCAGUUUUUGUCUUUUUGGAAAAUCCAUUAAUACUGAAUGAUCUUGGUUUUAAUCCAUUCCAAAAAAAAAAAAAAAAAA